rnacentral:rRNA from 1 species
GACGAACGCUGGCGGCGUGCCUAAUACAUGCAAGUAGAACGAGUUGCGAACGGGUGAGUAACGCGUGGUAACCUGCCUCAUAGCGGGGGAUAAAUCUUGGAAACGAUAGCUAAUACCGCAUACCAUCAGAUGUGCCCAGAUGGGCUUAGCUUGUUGGUGGGGUAACGGCUCACCAAGGCGACGAUCCCUAGCUGGUCUGAGAGGAUGACCAGCAACACUGGAACUGAGACACGGUCCAGACUCCUACGGGAGGCAGCAGUGGUGAAUAGUGCACAAUGGGCGCAAGCCUUAUGCAUCCAUGCCGCGUGUAUGAAGAAGGCCUUCGUGUUGUAAAGUACUUUCAGCGGGGAGGCGUUACCCGCAGAAGAAGCACCGGCUAACUCCGUGCCAGCAGCCGCGGUAAUUC